rnacentral:rRNA from 1 species
CGCCUGUUUAUCAAAAACAUGUCUUGUAGUUUUUUUUAUAAGUCUAUCCUGCUCAAUGAAGUGAUUUUUAAAUAGCCGCAGUAUUUUAACUGUGCUAAGGUAGCAUAAUAAUUAGUCUUUUAAUUAAAGUCUUGAAUGAAUGGUUGGGUGAAAAAAUUUCUUUAUUAGUUUUAUUAAUUGAAAUUUAUUUUUAAUUUAAAAAGAUUAAUUGUUUAAAAGGGGCACGAUAAGACCCUAUAGAUCUUUAAAAUUUUUUAUAUAUUUAUUUUUUUGUUGUUUUUAAUAAAUUUUUAAAUAGAUUUUUUUAUUGGGGUGAUAAUCAAAAAUUUUAACUUUAAUUUAUUUUAACAUUAAUUUAUGAUUUUUUUGAUCCUUAUUUUUGGAGAAAAAGAACAAGAUACCUUAGGGAUAACAGCGUUAUAAAUUUGGAGAGUUCUAAUCAAUAAAUUUGUUUGCGACCUCGAUGUUGGAUUAACUUAAUUUUGUGGGGUAGG